rnacentral:rRNA from 1 species
ACGAGGGGGGCGAGCGUUGUUCGGAAUUAUUGGGCGUAAAGGGCGCGUAGGCGGCUUGACAAGUCACUUGUGAAAUCUCCGGGCUUAACUCGGAACGGCCAAGUGAAACUGUCAUGCUAGAGUGCAGAAGGGGCAAUCGGAAUUCUUGGUGUAGCGGUGAAAUGCGUAGAUAUCAAGAGGAACACCUGAGGUGAAGACGGGUUGCUGGGCUGACACUGACGCUGAGGCGCGAAGGCCAGGGGAGCAAACGGGA